rnacentral:rRNA from 1 species
CCUACGGGAGGCAACAGUGGGGAAUAUUGGACAAUGGGGGGAACCCUGAUCCAGCCAUGCCGCGUGUGUGAAGAAGGCCCUCGGGUUGUAAAGCACUUUCAGUGAGGAAGAACGCCUGGUGGUUAAUACCCAUCAGGAAAGACAUCACUCACAGAAGAAGCACCGGCUAACUCCGUGCCAGCAGCCGCGGUAAUACGGAGGGUGCGAGCGUUAAUCGGAAUUACUGGGCGUAAAGCGCGCGUAGGUGGCUUGAUAAGCCGGUUGUGAAAGCCCAGGGCUCAACCUGGGAACGGCAUCCGGAACUGUCAAGCUAGAGUGCAGGAGAGGAAGGUAGAAUUCCCGGUGUAGCGGUGAAAUGCGUAGAGAUCGGGAGGAAUACCAGUGGCGAAGGCGGCUUUCUGGACUGACACUGACACUGAGGUGCGAAAGCGUGGGUAGCAAACAGGAUUAGAUACCCCUGUAGUC